UACAGAGGGGGCAAGCGUUGUUCGGAAUUACUGGGCGUAAAGGGCGCAUAGGCGGCCUGCUAAGUCGAACGUGAAAUCCCUGGGCUCAACCCAGGAACUGCGUCCGAUACUGGUUGGCUUGAAUCCGGGAGAGGGAUGUGGAAUUCCAGGUGUAGCGGUGAAAUGCGUAGAUAUCUGGAGGAACACCGGUGGCGAAGGCGACAUCCUGGACCGGUAUUGACGCUGAGGCGCGAAAGCCAGGGGAGCAAACGGG
rnacentral:rRNA from 1 species